UACGUAGGGGGCAAGCGUUGUCCGGAUUUAUUGGGCGUAAAGGGCGUGCAGGCGGUCUGUUAAGUUCAGGGUGAAAGCUCCCGGCUCAACUGGGAGAGGUCCUUGGAUACUGGCAGACUUGAGGAGGGUAGAGGAGAGUGGAAUUCCCGGUGUAGUGGUGAUAUGCGUAGAUAUCGGGAGGAACACCAGUGGCGAAGGCGGCUCUCUGGGCCCUACCUGACGCUGAGACGCGAAAGCGUGGGAGCGAACCGG
rnacentral:rRNA from 1 species